UACGUAGGGGCCGAGCGUUGUCCGGAGUUAUUGGGCGUAAAGCGCGCGCAGGCGGCCUCGCGCGCCGACGUGAAAGCCCCCGGCUUAACCGGGGAGGGUCGUUGGGGACGGCGGGGCUUGAGGGCGGGAGAGGUCGGUGGAAUUCCCGGUGUAGUGGUGAAAUGCGCAGAUAUCGGGAAGAACACCCGUGGCGAAGGCGGCUCUCUGGGACGGUAUGACG
rnacentral:rRNA from 1 species